GUUGAAGUGCAGGAGCAAGCAGCUCACGCUUAGCUGGGAAACAGACUAAGUUCUCAACCCUACCAAUAGAGAUUAACCAAAAUCAAUUCAAUGAGUGGAAUAAAAUGUUAUCAAGAUAUAUAUGGCAAGGUUCUUUUGAAGACCCUGACCUGGAGUUACACGCUGACUUCGGUUCUUUGUGGGAAUGGGACCUGCUCUUAGGGCCUCACGAUCGGCCGCUUUUCGAUAUGCCAAGGGCACGGCCUGGAAGACUAGCACACCUUCAGAAUAUGGAUUUUCAUGGCUCUGGAGAUGGGCUGAUACAAGGCUGGUGCUGCUGCUGACUGAUGCAUCAUAGGAGAACACGGAAGAUCGGAAGCAGAAAGCUGGCUGCUGGCUGUGUGACCAGAGACCUGAGUUCUUUGGGUACAGGGCUCAGAAAAAACAACGCAACAGAUUUUUAAUACCAUUAGUCAGUGAGGCGUUUGUUAUGCCCCCCCUCUCACUGUGAAAUGGGGACAUCUCUUUUUCACUAAUUAGGGAGAGAGUGAAUACCGGGUGAACCAGUAGUCUUUGGGGUACUGCAAGUCUGUACACUUGAGUGCUCAGUGGAGGGCGCCAAUGCUUUUUUGCUGGUGGGGGCUGUUGCCUUGAUGCUGCUUGUGUGUGGGAGGAGGGCUGUGGGGGGCUUUGGGGUUCUAACAUUUAACUGUCAUUCAUUAUUUGGGGCACUGCUUUGUUUUCGUGUAUGUUUGUGAAGAAAAAUAAUUUCAGGAUAUACGUUGUAUACACUUCUCUCACAUUAAGUGUACCUAUUGAACUUUGCUGGUGAUACAAGCAUUGUUGGCAGAAUCUCAGAUGGAGACAACAGGAUAUAUAGGAAUGAACUAUACCAGUUAGUUGAGUGGUGUUGGUGUAACAAACUUGCACUCAAAGAUGGUAAGACCGAAGAGCUGAUUGUGGACUUUAGAAAGGGUAGAAUGAGGGAACAACAAAAACAAUCCUCACAGAGGGAUCAGAGGUGGAGAGAGUGUGCAAUUUCAAGUUCCUGGGUGUCGAGAUCUCUGAAGAUCUAACCAGUUUCCAACAUAUCGAUGCAGUUAUAAAGAAGCAAGACAGCAGCUAUAUUUCAUUAGGAGUUUGAGGAGAUUUGGUUUGUCAACUAAGACACUUGAAAACAUCUACAGAUGUACCAUGCAGAGUAUUCUGAUUCUGACUGGCUGCAACACCGUCUGGUGUGGGGGGAGGGGGGAUGUGGUGACUACUGAAAGAAGCUACAGAAGCUUGUAAAAUUAGUCAGCUACAUCUUGGCUACUAGCCUCCAUAGUAUUCAAGCUAUCUUCGAGAGCGGUGCCUCAGAAAGGCGGUGUCUAUAAUUAAGGAUAACCGCCACCCUGGAUAUGCCCUCUUCUCAUUAUUACUGUCAGGAGCGAUAUCCACAAGCCUGAAAGCACACACUCAGUGAUUCAGGAACGGUUUUUUCCACUCUGCCAUUUGAUUCCUAAAUGGACGUUGAACCUGUGAACGCUAGUUUUAUUACUUCAGUUACUGCACUAUUUUUAAACUAACUACUUAAUAUAUAUACUUACUGUAAUUGAUUUACUUAUUUAUUGUUUUCUAUAUUACCAUACAUUGCAUUGUACUGCUGCUGUUAAGUUAACAAAUUUCACAACAUAUGCUAGUGUUACUAAACCUGAUUCUGAUUGUGACAACAAAUAAUUUGGGAAUAGUGCGGUUGUAAGGCUUAAUGGGCGAGGGGUUACUGAAGGUACACUGCAGUGAAUUGUUAUCAUGGAUUGUGUUCUUUGCUAUGUUUAAUCUAAUCAAAUUAUUGACGCAUUGUUAUUCAUGAGAUUUAAUAGAUUCUGUUUGCCGAUGAAUACCUCAACAGUGGAAAGUACUUCACUUUGAAAGUACUUCACUGACCACAAAAUGGUUUGUUCUGCUUGUAAGCCAUCAAAUCACUGUAUAACUUUAUUUA